rnacentral:rRNA from 1 species
AACGAACGCUGGCGGCAUGCCUAACACAUGCAAGUCGAACGAGGCCUUCGGGUCUAGUGGCGCACGGGUGCGUAACGCGUGGGAACCUGCCCUUAGGUUCGGAAUAACUCCCCGAAAGGGGUGCUAAUACCGGAUAAUGUCUUCGGACCAAAGAUUUAUCGCCUUUGGAUGGGCCCGCGUUGGAUUAGCUAGUUGGUAGGGUAAAAGCCUACCAAGGCGACGAUCCAUAGCUGGUCUGAGAGGAUGAUCAGCCACACUGGGACUGAGACACGGCCCAGACCCCCACGGGAGGAAGCAGGGGGGAAUAUGGGACAAUGGGCGAAAGCCUGAUCCAGAAAGGCCGGGGGAGGGAUGAAGGCCUUAGGGUUGUAAAGCUCUUUUACCCGGGAUGAUAAGGACAGGACCGGGAAAAAAAGCCCCGGCUAACCCCGG